rnacentral:sRNA from 1 species
ACUAGGCCAAUGACUGAAACAGCUUCUGAUACUCUAUUCAUGUCUGACCAAGACCUCAAUGACAAACAAGACGAGUUACUUCAAGAAAAACAUGCUGGAGACACGCAAGAAACGCAAGCACAAGGUUCAGGUUCUACAGAAAUGAAAGAAGAAAUAGCAGCUGAUAGGGAGCCAGUAUGGAUUCCUAAAUAUGGAAGUAUCGUGGCUCACCGACUGGCGCCGG